GUUGCCGUGGAAGUUUGGUGAACCUUAUCACUUAGAGGAAGGAGCCAGUCGUAACAAGGUUUCCGUAGGUGAACCUGCGGAAGGAUCAU
rnacentral:rRNA from 1 species